GUUGAGGGUCUCCAGGCCUGGAGUUGGCUGGCAGGAGUUGAGCAGGAAGCAGGUGGGCACGCAGGGCUGAGGAAUGUGGCAGGGUGGGGGACAGUUGUCACAGCAGGAGUUGAGCAGGAAGCAGGUGGGCACGCAGGGCUGAGGAAUGUGGCAGGGUGGGGGACAGUUGUCACAGCAGAUGGGCUCCAGUAACCAAACUGUGUGUGGGCAGGUGCUGGGUAGGCAGACUCCACAGCGGCAGCUUUUAUCAAAUGAGCAGAAGGUGGUGGCAGGGCCGGUGGGGACG
rnacentral:lncRNA from 1 species